UUACUUCUCAUUCUCCUCGGUUGUGCAGUCGUUUAAAUUAAUCUCUUCACAGCCAUGAAAAAAUAUAUAUAUUAAAUUUAGAAUUUAAAGCGAGAUAAUUUUUUUGGUUUUAUAUAUAUAUAUAUAUACAUGGCAGUGAUCUAUUACUUCUGAUGGGGUAAGAAAAUUCACUGUGACUUCUAUAUUGACCAACUAAUUUAAUCUAAUGAGUAAUGAUACAAUAAGGUCUCCCUCAUGAGAUUUCUUACGUGUUCUUUCUUUUUUUAUCAUGAUUAUGUCCAAAUACUGUAGCACAAACUCAACUAUUUGAAUGAGGACGAAACGACUAUUGUAUAGUUAAAAUUUCAUUAAAAAAAUUUCUUAACAAUAUAUACACGAAUUGGUCAAAGUUAAUAAUAUAAUUUAAAUAACAAAAAGAGUGUAAUUUUUUUACAGACUCGUGUGAUCUACGAAAUUUUAAGUAUAUAAUCCUCGUUUAAUUCUCUUUUAAAUGGUUAAGUUCGUGUCUCAAUAUUUGUACAUGAUCAUGACAAAAAAAUAAAAAAUAAAAAAUAAAAAAAACUCAUGAGAAAUCUCAUGAGGGAGACUUCACAGUACUAUUACUCUUAAUCUAAUUCUCACAUCCCAAACUUACUUAUAUACUUUCAUUUUAAUACAAAAUCACUAUCCCUAUUUGUUGCUUUCAAAUUUAAUAUUUCCAAAUACCACUAAUGUCAACAAUAAAAGAUAAGUAUUAACCAAAAAAUAAUAAUAAUAAUAAUUGAAAUCUCUUCACCUCUCAAAAUCACGUCUAACCACUAAAUAGAAAUUUUUGUUUUCCUUGGAAAAAAAAAAAAAAAAAAAAAAAAAAAAAAGAGCUAGUGAAAAGGGAAAAAAAAGCAAUGAGAUUUAGUUCAAAACUUGUUAUUAUUCUAUUAAAUUUCAAAUUUUCUUUAUAAAUUAGUUGUUUUUCUAAGUAUUCUUUAGUGUUCUUUAAUACUAUUAUUAUUAUAUUAUCAUAAUUUUUUUUUUUCAGUAUCAUUAUUUUUUUUUUCUUUUUGGUCCGUUUUUAACACACCCCAAAUGUUACUUUUCAGUGAUGCCAGAGCAGUUUUUACUUGUAAAAUGAUAUUAAUACCAUUUUGACUCUGUGUUGACUAACUAAAAUGAUUGAAAUGACUAGAUCAAAUACCCUUUCACUUUGUAUAUAUGAGUGUGUGUGUGUACAAUUACAAUAAACUAAAACACAAAAAAAAAAAAAUAAAAUAAAAUAAAAUAAAAUAAAAUAAAAUGAAGUGAAUUUAUGUGUUAAAAUAAAAAUCCACCUUAAAACUAAUCACCGUGUGUGUGUAUUAUAUAAUUUCUCAUAGACAUCACCACCCAUAAAUUAAUCAACGUAGAACCAGAACGCACUAGAACCACCACCCCAAUAGGCAAUCACCCCAUCACCACCAUAAUAAUUGGCGGCACCACCACUACCACAAUAGAUGCCCCACAACCACCGCCACCAUAGCUCUGUAUUGGGCGAAUGAACCCCGGAGCAGCCACCACUACCCUCCCCACGACAACAACCACUCUGUAUUCAGGUGAAAUAACCACACUGAAUCAGCAGCGGCAAGGUUGUGGCGGGGUGGAAGCGGUGGUGUGGUUCACAGCAACGGAAGUGGUGGAGUGGUUUAGGGCGACAUUGAAGUAACGACGGCAGGGUGCAUGGAUGAUUUAGGGCUUGAUUUGCGAAGUCGUUUGCGGGUAAGAUGCGAAUAGGUUCAUAAGGGAGCAUCUGUACUUAUAUAUAUUUGGGAUUUCAGAGUAAUUAAUGAGAACAAUUAUGUCCUUUUAGAUUACUAAUAUUUUAGAAUAAAAAGUAUUACAAAAUUAAGGGCAAAUUUGUCUUUUCACAUAAUUUUAAUAAUGUCCGUGACGGAAAAGUAAAAUUGGACCUAAGUAAUAGUAAUUUUUGAAGCAUGUUUCAAUGUGAUAUUUGACUAAAUAUGAGGAAUUGUCAGUGUAAUUUAUCUUAAUUAGUAAGGUAUCUAGUGUAUUUAUCUCGUGCUUAAAUAUCUCUUUCUAUAUAUAUAUAUAAAGAUAUAUAUAUAUAUAUAUGCCUACAUAUAUAUUUUGUAUUGUUCACAACUCAUCAAUCACAAAAAGCCUUGUUUUUUCCCUAACAUGUAGUAAUAUUAGAACACUUUUCUAUUUAUGUUUUGAUUGAUAAAUCAUUGCUUUUUGUCCGAAUUUAAUUUGAAUUCAAACAAAUAUUUUAAAUAUAAAUUAAAAUAUUUAAUCGGAUAACUCAUUAGUGAUCCAAAUUCAAUAUGAAUUAUAGUCAAUUCGAUCCCAUAACAAUCCCAUUCCAUAUAAAAAUUAUAUAUUAUAACAUUAUUUUAAAUAUUCAAAUACCUACGUUUCUAAUAUUUUUUAUUUGCAUUUUCUUUUUCUUUCUCCAACUUCUCCUCUUUUUUUUUUCCUAAUCAUUGUUUACUAAUCUCUUUUGAUAUUAACUUUUUUUUAAAUAAAGUUAUAUUCUUUUUGAAAUAAAUUUAUAUUCUUUUUGGAUUUGAUUAUCAGAUUCAAUAUCGGAUUAGUAACAAAUAAGAUAUGAAUUUAAUCAUAUAUAAUUCAUCAGAAUAUUAGAUUUAAUAGAACUCGUAUCCGAUUUGGAUCAGAUUUCACCUACCAAAUCUGAUUAGUUUAUCGGCCUAUAUGAGAGACGAAGAAAACUUUACGAAUAUUGAUGAUCUUCAAUACAAAAAAGAAAUAAAUAGAAGGAUAAAAAGGCUCACAAGUUUGUUGUGUGAGAUUAAUUGAAUACGAAUUUAAUUUAUUAUUUGCUUGCGAUGAGAUGUGCUCCAAUGCUUAAUAUUUUUAUUUAUUAUUUUUAUUUUUUAAACUAUAAAAUCAAGUGAUGAUCCUUCAAUUCGAUCCUACAAUUCAAGCUUCCUUCAUCUAUAGACCCAUGAGAUAUUCACUUAUCAGUCCAACCAAAGCAAAAAAAAACAUAAUAUAUUCAUAUAGCUUGAAUAUGUUCCUAUAUGUUAGGCAUAUGCAGUUCGUAGGAAAUUAGGACCUAACUAAAAAAUAACGUAAUUUUCAUCUAAGCAAUAUAUAUAUAUAUAUAUAUAUAUAUAUAUAUAAUGGGAGUUCUCAUAACUGACCUAACAAAAGUAUAAUUGUUUUUUUCUCUCUCUCUCUCUCUCUCUCUCUCUAUAUAUAUAUAUAUAUAUCCAAUCUAAGCAACAUAUUCACAUUUCAUAGUUAUUAAGAAAAAAACAAUUAUACUUCUGUUAGGUCAAUUAUGAGAACAUUUCAAGUCCCAUCUUCAAUAAUUUUGUACUAGUUUUGUCCCCACGUGUCAUAAAAGUCAUACAUGAAUUCACUGGACUCCAACUUAGCAUGUACUGUGGUGGUGUGCCAAAUCUGACGAUGGCCCAGAGCUCGGCUGUUUCAUGCGAAUCAUAUCUCUCUAAAACGUACUUCUUUUUGUUCCAAAAUUCUUAGUCUAUCUUUUUAUUUUAAAAUAAAAUGUCUUAUUUAAAAAAUAGAUGUAAUAUUUUUUAUAAUAUUUUUAAAUUAUUCUUUUUAAUUAUACAAGUGCACUAAUUACAAAAUAUUAUUUUAUUUUUAAUAAAACUAAAUUUAAAAUUUUACUCUCAUUAAUAUAAUAAAAAAGUAUUAAACACCUAAAAAUUUUGAAAGAAAAACACUAGUGAAAAGUGAAGAUUCAGGGACGUGAAUUGUGGAUGGGCCCACCCUCCCAUUAACAGAAUAUCUAUUUUAAAUUUUUUUGAAAGACUAUCAUUUUUUUAAUUUAUAAAAGAGAUUAAAGUAAUAAAUCUUAAAUGUUUCAUGAAUAUAAAAUUUAUCUACAAUCUAGAGGUAAUGUAAUUUAGUUGUUAACAAAAUACAAUUAUACUCAUUUCUGAUAAACAAUUUUGUUAGGUCAAUUAUGAGAACAUUUCAAGUCUAUCAUUUUCAAUAAUUUUGUACUACUUUUGUCCCAACAUCAAAUAAUGCGAAUGCACUGGACUCCCCACUAUUAUGGUCCAGAGAUCGGCUGUUCCGAGCGAAUUGUGUCCCGCUAAUAAUUAAGAAAAAUGGUAUUAAAGAUCCACGCGAUGUGAAUUGUGGUGAUGUAGGUGUGACGACGAUAUUUUCUGAGUGGUACAAUAUCAAAAAUUUUACCUCUUCUUCUCAGAUUCAAAUUCCCAGCCUCCCCUAUCGCCACUAAUUACUAAUUACUAAUUACUAAUUAUUAAUGACUAAUUCUCUAACCAUUGCCAUGACCAAAAAAAAAAAAAAAAUUGUGGUGAUUUAUCAUUUUUUUUUUUUUUUAUUUAAGUUCUUGCAAACAGCACAUACAAUAUUGCUCACACUCCAAAUCUAAAAAAUACAACAAAGAAAAUAGGAUUACCACGUGAAGAUAUUUCUUAAUUUCAACACAUAUACAAAAUCUUUAACUCCCUUUGUUCCAAUUUAAGUGUUACUUUUGGGGAGUAGUAAUUUUUAAGGGAACAUGUAGGAAAUACAUUGUCUCCCUAAAAAGUUACUAAAUUGUCCUUUUAAAUUUUGAAUAUACAAGUUUGAAAUUUAAAAUUUAAAGGACAUAUAUGAAAAGAUGUUAAAUAUAUAUUGUUUGAAAAAAGAAAGUUGACACUUAUUUUGAGUCAAACAAAAAAAAGAAAGUAUGUAAGGGCGAAUUCAGAAAUUGUUAAUAGGGGGGCUAAUAUUAAACAAGGGAGAAUUGGAGAUGAAAGAUUAAAGAAUUGAAAAAUUUUAAAGGAAAUAGGAUUAGACUUUAGAGGAAGAGAAAGAGUGAGCUCUCUGAUUUGUGCAAGAUUAGAAAUUUAGGAGUUCUCUUUGCUUUGGCUUAGUAAUUAUUUAGGGUUUGUUUAGCUUGGGCCUAUUUGGUUGGGCCUCUGUUUUAAAGUUGUGGCUUAAAUAUUCGGCAAGAUUGGAUGGGUUAAAAUUGGGGGAGCUAAUACUACUACUACUACUUUUUUUUUUUUAACAUUGGACUAAAUAUACAAAUAUACCUAUACUCAAAAAUAAAAUAAAAUAAAAUAAAAUUUUGGGGAAUGGCUCAAGCCCACCCAAGCCCCCCUUUGGAUCCGCCACUGCAAGUAUGACACUUAUUUUGGGAUAGAAGAAGUAUCAUUUUUCUUAAAUGAUCUAGAAUGUGUUAAAACUAGGGGUCUCCAUUUAAGUUCAAAUCCGCCCACUAAAAUUAAAUUAUUUGAAUAUCCAAAUUUAAGUGACCGAAUAAUAAUUGAUAAAAAGUGGGUAUCCAUAGAAUUUAAUAAUCAAUGAUAGGUUAAGAGUGAAUACACAUCUUAACCCACUCAAACAAAACCUCUUUUCUUUCUUCUCCAUUUCUCUCUCUUGCAUCUCCUCUGUUUUCUACCACUUCCCUUCGCUUUUAUCUUUUUCAUUUUUUUAAACCUUUUUUUCUCUUUCCUCUCUCUCUCUCUCUCUCUCUCUCUCUCUCUCUUCCCCUCUCCUCCCUGCUUCUUUCUUUCUUUUUCGUUUUUUUUUUUUUUUCCUUGUGUUCUCUCACCUCGCUGCUUCUUUUCUUUCUUUUUGUUCUUGCAUUAUCUCUCAACGCUAGUUCUUUUUUGUUUUUUUUUUUCCCUGUGUUCACUCUUUCUUCAAAUUUUGUUUUAUUGUAUAAAAUAAAUGACCAACAAUUAGUUAAAACUCUUGCUCAAAACUCUAUUUUUUAAAUAUAUGUAAUUAAUAUUGUUGACUAAGUUGUAUAGUGACUUUUCUCAAAAUAAAUUUUUUUUAAAAAAAAUUAUAACCCUUAAAAUCAAAAAUUUAAUUAAAAUUAUUGAUUAAGUUCUUUUUUUUGGAAGUUAAAAUAGUUACCCACACACUAUACCUCCUCCGAGGUUCGAACCCCUGACAUCCUCUUUUUAGGAGAGAAGGGGUGGUACUGCUGGGUCAUUUGGUCCUUUGGUCAUUAUUGAUUAAGUUGUAUAGUGACUAAGAAACUAAAAAAUUUGUAGAAGGCAAAAACGAAAAAAAAAAAAAAAAAAAAAAAGAA